rnacentral:tRNA from 1 species
AAAAAGAUAAGCUAAAAUUUAAGCUAAUGGGCUCAUACCCCGUCAAUGAAGUUACUUCUCUUUUUA